AAUAAGAGCGUAUGGGGAAUGCCUAGGCUCUCAGAGGCGAUGAAGGACGUGAUAAGCUGCGAAAAGCUGCGGGGAUUGGCACAUACAAAUCGAUCCGCAGAUAUCCGAAUGGGGCAACCCAGCAUGUUGAAGACAUGUUAUCCGAAAGGAGGCGAACCCGGAGAACUGAAACAUCUAAGUACCCGGAGGAGAAGAAAACAAAAGUGAUUCCGCUAGUAGCGGCGAGCGAACGCGGAAUAGCCCAAACCAGUAUUGUUACGGCAAUGCUGGGGUUGUAGGACUGCGACAUUCGAGCCACAAUGAACUAGAACUGUUUGGAAAGACAGGCCAGAGACGGUGAUAGCCCGGUAUAGGUAAAGAAUGGUGAGAUAGCAGUAUCCUGAGUAGUGCGGGGCACGUGAAACCCUGUAUGAAUUUGUCGGGACCAUCCGAUAAGGCUAAAUACUCCUGAGAGACCGAUAGUGAACUAGUACCGUGAGGGAAAGGUGAAAAGAACCCUGAAUAAGGGAGUGAAAUAGAACCUGAAACCAUACGCUUACAAGCGGUCGGAGCGGAUUUAUCCGUGACGGCGUGCCUUUUGCAUAAUGAGCCUACGAGUUACCGUUGCUAGCAAGGUUAAGCACUUCAGGUGCGGAUCCGUAGCGAAAGCGAGUCUGAACAGGGCGCUUAGUUAGUAGUGGUAGACGCGAAACCGUGUGAUCUACCCAUGGGCAGGGUGAAGCUGUGGUAACACAUAGUGGAGGCCCGAACCGGUUGACGUUGAAAAGUCUUCGGAUGACCUGUGGGUAGGGGUGAAAGGCCAAUCAAACUCGGAAAUAGCUCGUACUCCCCGAAAUGCAUUUAGGUGCAGCGUUGGUUUAGUUUUAUAGAGGUAGAGCUACUGAUUGGAUGCGGGGGCUUCACCGCCUACCAAUUCCUGACAAACUCCGAAUGCUAUAAAAUGAUGACCAGCAGUGAGGGCAUGGGUGCUAAGGUCCAUGUCCGAGAGGGAAAGAACCCAGACCAUCAGCUAAGGUCCCCAAAUGUAUGUUAAGUUGAAUAAACGAGGUUGAACUGCUUAGACAGCUAGGAUGUUGGCUUGGAAGCAGCCAUUCAUUUAAAGAGUGCGUAACAGCUCACUAGUCGAGCGGUUCGGCAUGGAUAAUAAUCGGGCAUAAACAUACUACCGAAGCUAUGGACUUUUAAAAGUGGUAGGGGAGCAUUGUA
rnacentral:rRNA from 1 species